rnacentral:rRNA from 1 species
AUAAGCGGAGGAAAAGAAACCAACAGGGAUUGCCUCAGUAACGGCGAGUGAAGCGGCAACAGCUCAAAUUUGAAAUCUGGCUCCUUUUGGGGUCCGAGUUGUAAUUUGUAGAGGAUGCUUUGGGUACGGCCACGGUCUAAGUUCUCUGGAACGAGACGUCAUAGAGGGUGAGAAUCCCGUAUGGGACCGCCGGCCACACCCGUGUAAAGCUCCUUCGACGAGUCGAGUUGUUUGGGAAUGCAGCUCAAAAUGGGUGGUAAAUUUCAUCUAAAGCUAAAUAUUGGCCAGAGACCGAUAGCGCACAAGUAGAGUGAUCGAAAGAUGAAAAGCACUUUGAAAAGAGAGUUAAACAGCAUGUGAAAUUGUUGAAAGGGAAGCUCUUGCGACCAGACUCACCCACGGGGGUUCACCGGGCGUUCUCGCCCGGGCACUCCCCCGCGGUUGGGCCAGCAUCGGUUUGGGCGGUCGGUCAAAGGCCUCUGGAAUGUAUCAUCCCCCGGGAUGUCUUAUAGCCAGGGGUGCAAUGCGGCCUGCCUGGAUCGAGGAACGCGCUUCGGCACGGAUGCUGGCGUAAUGGUCGUAAGCGACCCGUCUUGAAACACGGACCAAGGAGUCAACCAACUAUGCGAGUGUUUGGGUGUCAAACCCCGGCGCGCAAUGAAAGUGAACGGAGGUGGGAACCCCUCGGGGCGCACCAUCGACCGAUCCUGAUGUCUUCGGAUGGAUUUGAGUAAGAGCAUAGCUGGUUGGACCCGAAAGAUGGUGAACUAUGCCUGAAUAGGGUGAAGCCAGAGGAAACUCUGGUGGAGGCUCGCAGCGGUUCUGACGUGCAAAUCGAUCGUCAAAUUUGGGUAUAGGGGCGAAAGACUAAUCGAACCAUCUGGUAGCUGGUCC